rnacentral:lncRNA from 1 species
CAGAAAGUUCUGCUCCUCCUUGUCUACCGUGCACGCUAUCCAUAAUGACAUCUCACGAAUCAUAUCGUGCAUCUUUACAUGAUCAUCGCCUUCUUCCUCCAAUAAGCAUGCUUGAAGAAGGUCAUCAAUAAAAUCGCAUCCAUCAUCAAAAUCAUAUACAAAUCCUUCACUAAUCCAGUAAUCAAUCAAUUCCCUUCUAGGAAUUUCGUAGUCUUCAGGAUAUAAACAACAAUACAGGAGACAGGAACGAAGUUCGUCCGUAGACAAACUAUCAUAGCUGAACUUUAAACGCGAAAACACCUCUUCUUUCAUACCUGAGAAUUUAGAAGCUGAUGUUGUCAUUUUGUGAAUUGCACGUUUCCAAUCUCCAACUUUCCUUUGGCUUUUCAUGGCUCGACCCACUGUUUUAAGCGCUAGCGGCAACCCACCACACUCUCUUGCCAGGGUUUCGGCUAGCUCUGGAAUACUGGUAUGACUGUCAAGAGUGGAUCUGUCGACCAUCUCCUGAAAUAAUUCCCAGGCUUUAUCAUGCGCCAAACUAUACACUUCCAACUUUUUAGCGUCCAUUUGAUCGCAAACACCAGCUGAACGAGUUGUCAAGACUAUUUUGGACCCAUCAUUUAGAUUUUGAAGAGGGACACCCAAUUGUGUUAAAUCAAUGCGCUCCCAUAUAUCAUCCAAUAACAACACAAACUUCUUUCCGCUUAAAAUUCUAGCGAUGUCCGCAGCCUUGUCUCGAAGACUUUUUUUCUCCCAGCUUGGGUCUUCUGAAAAGCCAAUCCUUUUUCCAAUGUCAUCUUGAAGUGUUGACGCAGCCGCCCAGAUAACAACAUCAAAAUUAUGCUGUUGAUGGCAGAAGUUGUUGUUGACUUGUUUUAAAAGGGUAGUUUUGCCGACUCCCCCUAUACCAUACAAGCCGAUAAUUCCCCUGUUAUUUUCCUCAUCAGUGAUACAUCGCCAAACUCGAUCCACUAGUAAUUCUUGACCAACAAUUGUUUGCGCAAGAGGUAAUUCAAUUGCUGCACCAUCUGGCGCCUUCUCAACAACGACUUCAAUUUUUUCUCCGUCCUUCCUUAAAUUGAUCACUCGAUCCGUCAACAUGACCACUUUUCUGCCGAAAUCGUAGCUUGAAGCCAAGUUUUUGGAACAGAGGCCUCCAAGGCACAAUCUAUCCAUUUCUUGAGCUUUAACUUGUUGCAGCUUCGUAAAUUCAUUUUCCAGUUUUUGCACAUCUUCAAGCCACCCUGCGACCUGGUUCGUUCGUCUGGUUCGAGGUCGUUGUUCUUCGACCUCAACCCUGGUCUUCAGAUCGUCCCUUGUUCGAGUCAAUUUGUGCAAUUCAGUCUCCAAGCCCUCAAGAUUUUUUUCGAGACCCCAUAUAUAUUUUGCUUGUUGACCAACGCAGUUUAAAGUUCGAUUAAAAAAGUCUGGUUGUAAGAAAGUUGAGAUUAAGUUACCCAUUGUCGUUCACGAAAAGAGGAAGAGAAGCGAUGGGUACAAUGAAAAGAAUUAUGCUGCUUUGGAGAGGGUUAUAUUUAGAGAAGCACAAUACCGAAAUAAAAAUAUGAUACAUUUGUUGCUUUAUAAUUCAUAUGUCAAAUAUCAAGAAUAUAAUGAUACGCUUACACGUCAUAUAAAAUUUGCAAUUCAACCCAGUAAUCACAUAGUUAAUAUUAAAUCUUAUCAUUUGUUAUCUAAGUGAUAAAUUUAUAUUGAUAAUAUAUUUUUUAGAAUAAAAAUUUUCUACCUUAACUUGGAUGAAGAUUCAAAAUAUUAAGUCAAUGAUAGAUAGAUAAAAAAUAAAAUAAAAUAAAUUUUAACAUUAAUUCCUGGAAUCUGUCACCAUUUUUUUCCCUUAGUAACAACCAUGUUCGCUUGAGAGACCACCACAACAUGAAUAAUUUCUUCUUGGUCGACCAAAUUGGCCUUAAGAGGCUUGUGAUCUCCCUUUCUAUACUUGCAUUUGAUAGCAAAAUGUCCACAAACAUAACAAUUGCCUUUUUAAGGAAUCAAACAAGACUUAAUUAGGCGAUAAACCAGUCUAUUGGCUAGAGCCACUCAAAGUUUGAAUGAAGGUAAUUUUUCUAUCAAGAGAAGAAUUGUAAUCCUUAGAAUAUUUGAGAUGAUUUUGAGUGGUGCCAUAUCAAAAUUGAUAUAUACUAAUUUUGAUAUAUAAUUAUAUGAUUAUAAAUAUAAUGAAUAAUAAUCUAAAAAAAAAUAGGCGAUAAAGUUUAUUACAUCCACGAACAUAAAGGUCACGUUCAAGUAAAUGUGACCGUUGGACGUUGACAGCCCCUAAAAAAGAACCAAAAAAAAUCUAAUUUGAUAAAACGACGUCAGGAUUCGAAAUGGUCACGGGUUAAAAAAUUUAUUGGAAGCAUAAUAUUAACGUGCGCUUGCUUCUUCCAAAACAGCAAGAGACUGAAUGCUGAGCCUCUCUGAAAAAGAAGCUGCGUUCUGUAAGACUGAAACGUUUAGCUGAGACCUUGUGUUAAUUUUUUACAACCCUAAACCCUAAACCCUAAACCACUUGCUCUUAAUUGUCACCCGCAUUACCGUAGGAAUAGGAUUUCUCUCUAUCUCAGUUUUACUAAAUUUUUAAAAAUUUAUUUUUAUGUGUCUUUUAAUUAUAGUAUAUAAAUAAAAUUUUAUUUUUUAAUUUUUUUAAUUUAUUAACUAUCAAUCAUUUUAAAUUAUUUAAUAUGAUCAGAUCAAAAGAAAAUUUUUAUCUUUUAAUUUAACUAUGUCAAUUAAUAUUACAUAUCCUAAUUUUCUUAAAUGAUGCGGCAUUUAUUAAUUAGACACUAAGAUAGCACUAUUAAUUUAUUUAUAUAUUUUAUAAAAAACUAUCAAUCACUUACAUUACAUACUAUAUUCUGAAAAAAAAAUUUGAGUUAUCUAUUAUUAUUUAAAAAGGAGGAGUAAUUUUGGUAUGCUAAGGUUAUUUCACAAACGUAAUAAAGAAAUUUGUGAUGAUGAACACAGUGAUAGGGCAAUUAUUGAAGCAGCAAUGACUUCGUCUGUUGCGCGUGGGAAAUCUAUUAGUAAUAUAAAGGAAAAUAAAAAGUACCCUAUGUCUUUUCAACUAUUAUUAUUUUUCCAAGGCGAACUAGCCAAAUAUGUAUGAUAAAUGUCCCUAAUAUUUUUUCUGUAAAUACAAAGACAAAUUAAAUUCAACUAGAACAAAAGUCUUUCACUGGAACCCAAUAGAUAAAAGACCAAAAUGAUAUCUAGACAUACCUCAUUGUAUAGCAAUGGAAGCUUACAAGUUAAAAUAGUAUUUAUAAUCUUUUGUAACUUUCAAAUUCUGCAUUGGAUUCUGCAACUCAUCAAGAUUAGCUUUUUAGAUCUCAUAUAUAUUUUAGCAUCUCCACGAAGGAAAAAUAAAAUAAAACUGCAAGAAUUGAGUCUGGUGAUAAGAAGCACGCAUGAGAAUGAUGUUACCCAUUUUUGUUAACAAAAAUUUCAAGGAAGAAAAUAAAGUGAGAAAGAAAGAAUUAUGUUUGUGAAAAUGGAAGAGAAGGUAGGAAUUGUAUUAUAAGACUGCAAUGUUAAGUGGCUUGGUUGUGUAGGUGAGACAUUUCAUCGAACUUCUUUACAUUUCCAUCAAACACCUUGUUCUUUAACCGUCUGUGACGUCCUUUAUACCCGUCCAUAGACAUUAAAUUGGCUGAUGUCAAGUGAAUUUGAGACUACAAAUGUGCAGCUCUUGCCUUAAUCUCCUUAGAAUCCUGAAGGGUGAAAACUUAUACCUUAUAGACUUAAGGUACGUUUAGGAUUGAAGUGUUAUAACUUUUAAGCUACAGUUGCUGUAAAAAAAAAAAAUUUAAAUAAUAAUUUUGAUGAAAUUAUUAAUAAUAAUAUAAUAAAUUCUCCAUUAUACAAGUGAAAAAUUAUAUCAACAUAUCUUUCAAGACACAACAAUUAGUAUUUACUAAACACUUUACUACUGUACCUUUUAAGGUACAGGUAUCCAACUUCAAUUCUAAAUGCACUCUCAUAUGUAUACCCUUUAUAUAAGGCUGAUAGAGUAAUGUAAACUAUAUUGUCCUUUUUUUCUUGUGUUAAUUGAAAUAAUUAAAACUCAAAAUUUGUAAGUGAGGCCACUUGAUUGCAGCAAAGGAGAGCAGUGAAGGGAAGAUAAAAUUUUACCGACAUUGAACUUGUUAUUUCUCUCUCUACUAUAUUGUAGUGUUUACUUUUUAGAGUGGGAGUUUGGAGUGUGGAGUGUGGAGUGUGGAUUCCUCCCACUCUCCCACUCUAGUGUUUACUUAUCUUAAAAAAGGGGGAAGUGGGAGUGGGAAUCCGUGGGUCCCACCCAAUUUUGGAGUGGGAAGUGGGAUUCCCACUCCCAUGGGGGGAGGUGGGAGUGGGAAUCCACUCCCCCCUCUUCCCAUUUUAUCCCUAUAAUUAAAUUAAUAAAUAAUAUUUAAUAAAAUAAAUAAUAUCAUAUUUAUUAAAAAUAAUAAUGAUAUCAUAUUUAUUUUAUUAAAUUUAAUAAAAUAAAAAUAAAUAAAUAUUAUAUUUAAAUUAAUAAUAUUAAACAUUAUUAAUUUUAAUAAAUAUUAAUUAAUUAUUUAAUUAAUAAUAAUAAAUAUUUUAUUCUAAAAAAAUAUUAAUUUUGUACUAUAUUAUCAAUAAUAAUAUUUCAUUUGUGUUGUUAUUAUUAAUAAUUUUUAUUCACAUAAUUUAAAUUAAAAUUAAUAAAAAAUUAUGAUUUACAUAAUUAAGAAUAUUAGUAAUUAUUAUUAAUUUAGAAAUAUAAUAAAAUAUUUAUUUUAUUUUCCAAAUAUUUUUUAUUAAUUUUUUAAUUAUAAAUUAUAAUUCUGUACAUAAGGAUAAAAUUGUAAUUUAAAACAAUUUACUCCCAAUCCAAGACAAAGUAAACAAAUAAUUAGGAUUCUGAUUGACAAUCUAUACUUUCACACCCUACUCUACACUCCUAAUCCAAGGAUUCCCACUCCUCAGGAUUCCCACUCCAAUCCAAAAAGUAAACGCAGCAUAUAUAUAUUAGCUUGUUGUUAAUUAUAAUCUUUGCAACCAAAUAAUGUAGAAUAUGUAUACGGGUGCGAAAUUUUCCAUAGGGAAUUCAGUGUUCGAUUUAAACUGCACUUUUAUAGUUUGUUCUCCAUUUACUCCUUACUUUCAGAUCUUUGUGACAAUCACAAUUUUGUCAACCAAAAUAAAGGUCGCAUUCAAGCAAAUUAAAUGUGACCUUUGGACAUUAGCAUCAACCUCUAAAGUGAUAGCAGUAACAAACAGCUCAGCACAAAUAAUUGAGGCCCUGCACUUUCAUUAGAGGAUGGGAGAAGAGAACACUUGAUUUGAUAGCAAGACGCCAAGACCAGGACAGAGACCAAGACGAAGACCGAUGAAAAGCCCUAAACAAACCAAAAAAUAAAAAUAAAAAUGCAGUUAUGAUUAUCGUCGAAUACUUCAAACAUACGACAAGUCCAAGUUUAGCUAAGGCCUAGUGUAUAAAUUUUCUACAAGCUGUUGAAUGAGAAAAUUUGUCUAAUUCUUAAGUCUUACCUGCCAAUCACAUCAUUUUAAAUUUAGUCUGUUGAGUAGAAUUUUACUUUUAUAAUUUUUAUCUCAAAAAUCUAUUUUAAAUUAUAUAAUAUUUAUUAAUUAAAUAAUAAAAUAGCAUAAUUAAUUUAUUUAAAUCCUAUAUUAAAUUAUCAAUCACUAAAUAAAUGACACAUUACAUACUAUAUUAUUUAAAAUAAAAAUUUAAAAUAUUUACCGUUACUUAAAAAAAUUAAUUUCCUUUUCCUAAAGUUAUUUCACAGACGCAAGUACAAAAUUCUGUGAUCAUGCACAAAGUGAUAGGGCAAUUAUUGAAUAAAUAUCUCACCAAAUAUAAUUAUAGCAAAUUAAAUAAAUAUUUACUAUGACUUCAGCAUCUGAGUUCCCACUCUAUAAAUAUGCCAGCAUUUUAAAACAAACAAGACUUAAGCGACAAAUACAAUUUUGUCGACGAGUAAAAAGGUCGCAUUCAAGCCAAAGGAGAAAUUCUUUCCAGUGGGAGGAUUCUAAAACCAAGAAUCCACUGCUGAAAUUUUAUUAACUGAAAAUAGAUAACGAUUGACACACCAGACAACAACAACAAGAUGCAAUUAAAUCUAAUGAAAAUUAAAAAAAGAAAAAAGAAAUACAUAUUCAAACAUAUUAAUGAAAAUCAUCCCCAAGUACGACACCGGAAGAGAAAGCAUUUUGGGUGGCUUGGUCCUCCCAUUGUAGCUCUUCCCACCAUUUUUUCGACCCCUCGAUGACAACUCGACGUUCCUUCGCGCUGCUGGAAUUGAGUGGGAGCUUCUUCAGCUGUCGGCAUUCACGUACUUCAAUUUUCUUCAGCUUUGGAAAGGGCAGGGGAUUCGGGUAAACGCUCUUUAAAUUUCUUCCCCACUUUAUGGUUAGAGAUUCGAGUUGUGCAAAAAAGUUAUGCUCUGACCCGAUUAUCUUCGAAAUAUCUCUCAAUUUAUCAACACUAAUUAUUUCUUCCGUUUCUGUACAAAAGACUAUACGCAGCUGCUUGAGAAUUUGAACAAAAACUAGCCACGUUAAGUCUUUCAUUUUUUUGCAACUCCAUAUGACAACUCUGUCGAGACUGCGGAAACCACUUUGAAAAAGUUUCUUUACCUCUUCUGUGCUGUCAGUCUUCAUCUCUUCCAAAUUACUGUCUGAAAUGCGUAACUCCUGAAGAUUCUCCAUGUAUGCUAGAUGUAAGACAUUGAACGGUGGACUUUCACAUUGGCAAACCAUUACAGAUUGAGUGAUGCUCACCAGCUUUGGAUAUUUCAAAAACUUUUGGACAGCAAGUGAACUUCGGAAGGUCCAGCUUAAAACAUUUAAAUGCUUCAAACCCAGCAAUUCCUUCAUCAAAGGUUCAGCAUCAUCACAUAGAACGUUACCUUCUAUUACGCUCCAGCGACCGCGUGAAAGCAACCUGAGUACCUCCAACUUUGAAAAGCCAGAUAUCAAUUGAUGUGGAAUUAUAGACAAAAACCGUGUAUAGUCCAAGUUCAAAUAUCUCAACUUCUCCAACGCCUUCAGCUCUUGCGGCAACCCAGUUAUGUUAGUCGAUGAUAGAUCAAGAUGAUGUAAUGAAACCAAACCUGAAAUCCCUGAAGGUAGUGUUCUUAGGGGAAAAUUUCCUCUUAGACUUAAUACUCUAAGAGAAGACAUCGAUUGAAAGAAGCCAUCAGUAAUCUCCUCAAUCCGAUUUCCACCCAGAAGUAAAGUUACGAGGCGCGGACACGUGGGAAUUUCCAAUAAGCUCCUAAUUCCAUUUCCCAUCAGAGAUACCCGUUUGGCACCUUCCCAUUCUUCAAACUUUGGUGCUUCGGUCAAUUCAACUCCAGCGCGAACCAGAAAGUUCUGCUCCUCCUUGUCUACCGUGCACGCUAUCCAUAAUGACAUCUCACGAAUCAUAUCGUGCAUCUUUACAUGAUCAUCGCCUUCUUCCUCCAAUAAGCAUGCAUGAAGAAGGUCAUCAAUAAAAUCGCAUCCACCAUCAAAAUCAUAUACAAAUCCUUCACUAAUCCAAUAAUCAAUCAAAUCCCUUUUAGGAAUUUCGUAGUCUUCAGGAUAUAAACAACAAUACAGG